rnacentral:rRNA from 1 species
GAGUUUGAUCAUGGCUCAGAAUGAACGCUGGCGGCAUGCCUAACACAUGCAAGUCGAACGAAGGCUUCGGCCUUAGUGGCGCACGGGUGCGUAACGCGUGGGAAUCUGCCCUCAGGUUCGGAAUAACAGCGAGAAAUUGCUGCUAAUACCGGAUGAUAUCGCGAGAUCAAAGAUUUAUCGCCUGAGGAUGAGCCCGCGUAGGAUUAGCUAGUUGGUGUGGUAAAGGCGCACCAAGGCGACGAUCCUUAGCUGGUCUGAGAGGAUGAUCAGCCACACUGGGACUGAGACACGGCCCAGACUCCUACGGGAGGCAGCAGUGGGGAAUAUUGGACAAUGGGCGAAAGCCUGAUCCAGCAAUGCCGCGUGAGUGAUGAAGGCCUUAGGGUUGUAAAGCUCUUUUACCCGGGAUGAUAAUGACAGUACCGGGAGAAUAAGCUCCGGCUAACUCCGUGCCAGCAGCCGCGGUACCGAGCUGGCGAUCAG